ACAAUGCAAUCCUCCCUCCCUCGUCCUCCACGGCGAUCUAGCUAGAUGUAGCAAGCAAGCAAGCAAGUACGCAAGCGCGUGCAUAAGCUUCUGAAAGUUCUGUCCAGCGAGGGGGAAAGUGUAUUAAUUACAGAUCAAGUCAAAGUGGUUGCACACUUGUAGGUGGUCGUGAACCCAGCCAGCCCCCGAAGCUUCGACCGAAACCUAGUUUACAAAGUCAAUGUAGGACAAAAAAAAAUAUAAACAAAACUGGCUGGGGGGAGGGGGGUGAGGAAUAUUUCUCACUUGUGACUGGAGUGUUGGGGCAUCGGAAGUCAAUGGCAGUAGAAGGAAGGAAGUAGAGCCAGCAUCUUUGAGAGAGUAGAGUGGGAGUAGAGCCUCUUGUGGCCACUUGAAGGGCCUGUUGCGGUGGAUGGGAGCAGAUUGAGGCCGAUGAUCUCGUCGUUGAUGCACAUUUGUGCACGUUUCGAGAUCCAUAUAUUCUUUCUAAAGUAAAGAGAAUUACACCCUCACUCACACACACAUACAUACAGACACACCGAAGAGGAAGAAGGGAGUGCAGAAUUAGCGCGUGAAGUGCUGGAUUAGUGAAAAUCUUUUUUUUGUGCGUUUCGAACUGUGCAGUCACGAGAUGAUUCCAGGAAUUGGUCAUAAGUUCCAAGCGAAGGAGGAGGACAAUGGGACAAGGUGGGUGAGACGGGAUCUGGGAGAAGGCGGAGCGUUUUGCCGUUGUGCGCAGAAUUUGAAUGUUCCUCGCCAUGAUUUGGUGGUCCAGUGGUGUACAGACGGAGAGACAUGGAAAGCAGGGGGAGCUUCGGGACAGUCUUCUCAUCAUUAGCGCAACAAAUAGCUGCACACUUUUCAUACUUUUGUACAGUGUUUUUGGAGUUUCUGUGGAGUAGGUGGAACGGUAUGGGGGAGACUCUUGAGGUGGAUAAUAAUAAUAAUAAAAACUUUGUUUUGUUUUGUUUUGUUUUAUAUUUAUUUAUUGUCCCCCCCCCUCCCCCCUUUUCUGUGUUUCGGAAGCGACUUUUGCAUUCCAAAGGUGAGUUGGUGGAGCAUAGAGUUAUCUGGUGGGGGCAGCAAGCAAUGCCUCAAGUGUUGGCGGAGGUUGUACGGCACGCCGUCCUUAUCUUGCGUCUUUUUUACUCUGCUGCUACUUGUGCUGCUGCGGCAGCGGAUCAACCUUCGCUGAGGACUUGAGGGUGGGUUCGUGUUCUCGCCAUCGUACUUGGUCCCUUGCUACGCGUGCAUCACCAGGUUUCCUCGGGAUGGUGUGCAUUCUUCGCCCUCUGCCGUUCCAGAGGAUGAACAUAAACACAUUCAAGGCUUGCAGUGUGCACCGUGCUUGUGUAAGUCUCAUGUGUGGAGUGCUGCCCUAGAUGUGUGGUCGAGUGAAGAUCCUUACAUAAAUGAGUUUCUUCAAUGCUAUCUGGGGCUUACCUCUACAAAGGAUUGAAGCUCUGGAGUGAGGAUGACAAAUGGGAAAUGUCGAAGCAACAAAUAGUGUCCUAUUAUAAGGUACGAGAUCAUCAACUCUUCCACUGCUGUUCUCUGGGUCUGCAAACUUCAUGCUCCAAGAAUGGCUCUGGGUAAGAAACCUAACUUAAUGCAGCUUUUUACAUGUUGAAUUGUCUAAACCCUAAAUCCUGAAGCUCUUUCUUUCUUUUGAUUCUUUACCCAUUUCUGUGUAGUAUCAAGUGCAAGCAAUUAUCAGCGUCGUGUUUUCCUCUGUCUGACAAUCAUCGUCACUAUUGUGAUCUAGAUUGUCUGCUUCUUUUCAUGUUUCUAACUUUUAAUUCUCUGCAAAGAUUAGAACAGUCGAUUGACUUGAAGCCUGGAAGGUCCAGACACUUUUGUAUUAAAAAAACGCAAGUCAUAGCAAUGAAAAUACUGUUACAUGUACUUAUUGAUCUAAUUUAAAUAUCCCUAAACGCCUUGUCUUGAUUCCAACCUUCAAAUUUCGUUAAUGCAUAAAUCCUUAAAUGUUACUUCAAUCUUUUUAAUCUUUUGUGAAAAGACAAACUUUAAUCAUUAACGUCGUUGUUCCAUUGCACAUGAAAACGUAAUGCCACAAUGAUGUUGAUUUAAAAAUCUUUGUAUUUUUUUUUAUUUCUUUUAUUUUUUGUUUUAUAUUGGAUUUGGUUAUCUUGAGAUUUGAAAAUUUAACAUUACUCUUGGAGUAUCUAAACAGAACAAAUUAAAUAGUGGGGAGUAGUUUGAUUGAUUUUGUUGCUUCAACAUGUUACCAUUUGUGUGUAACAAAUCGUCUUGAUAGUUUAUCAGUUCCUUAAUAAUUUAUUCCAUCCCAAACUUUGUUGACAAUGACUUCAUAUUUAGGAGAGUUUAUAAAAACUAGCUGUAUGUUCUGAAUCAGUGAUGCAAGUUUCUUUAAAACUUAUUCAUGGUUUUUGGAUGUGUAUUCAGCAUGGUCAAGACCGUGUGUUGUACACAUCUUUUUUUCUUUUCAUAUUUUACUCUUUAAAAUCAAAGUAUGAUUACUGAAUUGAUUAUGUUGUCCAAUUGUGAUGAACUUGGUGAAUAAUUUAUAGAGGUUACCUCAUUUUCUCUA